rnacentral:rRNA from 1 species
UAGGGAAUCUUCCGCAAUGGACGAAAGUCUGACGGAGCAACGCCGCGUGAGUGAAGAAGGAUUUCGGUUCGUAAAACUCUGUUGUUAGGGAAGAAAAAAUGUAUAGUAACUAUAUACAAAAGAGACGGUACCUAACCAGAAAGCCACGGCUAACUACGUGCCAGCAGCCGCGGUAAUACGUAGGUGGCAAGCGUUGUCCGGAAUUAUUGGGCGUAAAGCGCGCGCAGGUGGUUUAGAAAGUCUGAUGUGAAAGCCCACGGCUCAACCGUGGAGGGUCAUUGGAAACUAAUAAACUUGAGUGCAGGAGAGAAAAGUGGAAUUCCGAGUGUAGCGGUGAAAUGCGUAGAGAUUAGGAGGAACACCGGUGGCGAAAGCGACUUUUUGGCCUGCAACUGACACUGAGGCGCGAAAGCGUAGGGAGCAAACAGG